CUUUUUUUUUUUUUUUUUUUUUUUGAGACAGAGUGAGUAGCUCUGUCACCCAGGCUGGAGAGCAGUGGUGCAAUCUUGGCUCAGUGCAACCUCCAUCUCCCAGCUCAAGCCAUCCUCUAGCCUCAGCCUCCUGAGCAGCUGGGAUUAGAGGCACAUGCAGCCACACCUGGCUGAUUUUGUGUUUUCUGUAGAGAUAGGCUGUCGCCAUGUUUCCCAGGCUUGUUUCAAACUCCUGGGCCCAAGUUGUCCACCCGCCUCAGUCUCCCAAAGUGCUGGGAUUACAGGCGUGAGCCACCCAUGCUUGGCUAUAAUGUAUUUUCUUAACUUAUACAGUGCUGCUGCUUAACAGGUCAGGUCCUAGUUAAUGGAAAACUUGAACUACAUUGUGGAAUUAAGAUUCGUUUCUAGUUUGACUAAUAAAUAAAGGCUAUGCGUUUCAAGGUUUUUUCUCUUUUUUAAGUUUUUUGGUUUUUUUUAGAGAUGGUGUCUUGUCAAGUUUUUUUCUUAUAUCAAGGUUGCUUGACACGAAGGGAUGGCUCAAAUUAUGUUAGUGGCUAAGUAAAAAUACUUUUUAAUUUUUUUUAAUUUUCAUUUUGAAAAAACUUCAGACUUACAAAACAUACUACAAAAAUAUUACAAAGUAUGUUCAUAUACCCUUUACUCAUGUUCCCCAUAUGUUCUUUUCCAAAACCUCAGGACAAUUGUAGAAAUCAAUAAAUUAACAUAAUUGCAAUAUU
rnacentral:lncRNA from 1 species